rnacentral:rRNA from 1 species
UACGGGGGGAGCAAGCGUUGUUCGGAUUUACUGGGCGUAAAGGGCGCGUAGGCGGCCAGCACAAGUCAGUUGUGAAAUCUCCGGGCUUAACUCGGAAAGGUCAACUGAUACUGUGCGGCUAGAGUGCAGAAGGGGCAACUGGAAUUCUCGGUGUAGCGGUGAAAUGCGUAGAUAUCGAGAGGAACACCUGCGGCGAAGGCGGGUUGCUGGGCUGACACUGACGCUGAUGCACGAAAGCGUGGGGAGCAAACAGG